GAUGAAGAACGCAGCGAAAUGCGAUAAGUAAUGUGAAUUGCAGAAUUCAGUGAAUCAUCGAAUCUUUGAACGCACAUUGCGCCCGCCAGUAUUCUGGCGGGCAUGCCUGUCCGAGCGUCAUUUCAACCCUCAAGCCCAGCUUGGUGUUGGGGAUCGGCACAGGCGCCCUCGGGCGCCAGCCGUCCCCUAAAUCUAGUGGCGGUCCCGCUGCAGCCUCCUCUGCGUAGUAGUUUUCUCCUCGCAAGGGCAGCUCGGUGGCGACCUCGCCGUAAAACCCCCAACUUCUGAAAGGUUGACCUCGAAUCAGGUAGGAAUACCCGCUGAACUUAAGCAUAUCAAUAAGCGGAGGA
rnacentral:misc_RNA from 1 species